UACGAGGAGGGCAAAUGUUGUUCGGAAUCAUUGGGCGUAAAGGGAGCGUAGGCGGGUUUCUAAGUCAGGUGUUUAAUCCCGGGGCCCAACCCCGGACAGGCACUUGAAACUGGGAAUCUUGAAUAGUGGAGAGGUCAGUGGAAUUGGGGGUGUAGCGGUGGAAUGCGUAGAGAUCCCCAAGAACACCAGUUGCGAAGGCGGCUGACUGGACACAUAUUGACGCUGAGGCUCGAAAGCAUGGGGAGCAAACAGG
rnacentral:rRNA from 1 species